rnacentral:tRNA from 4 species
CACUAAGAAGCUAAAACGGGAGAAAGCGUUAGCCUUUUAAGCUAAAAAUUGGUGAGCCCCCAACCACCCCUAGUGA